GACGAACGCUGGCGGCGUGCUUAACACAUGCCAGUCGAACGGAAAGGCCCUGCUUUUGUGGGGUGCUCGAGUGGCGAACGGGUGAGUAACACGUGAGUAACCUGCCCUUGACUUUGGGAUAACUUCAGGAAACUGGGGCUAAUACCGGAUAGGAGCUCCUGCUGCAUGGUGGGGGUUGGAAAGUUUCGGCGGUUGGGGAUGGACUCGCGGCUUAUCAGCUUGUUGGUGGGGUAGUGGCUUACCAAGGCUUUGACGGGUAGCCGGCCUGAGAGGGUGACCGGCCAAAUUGGGACUGAGAUACGGCCCAGACUCCUAAGGGGGGCAGCAGGGGGGAAUAUUGCACAAUGGGCGGAAGCCUGAUGCAGCAACGCCGCGUGCGGGAUGACGGCCUUCGGGUUGUAAACCGCUUUCGCCUGUGACGAAGCGUGAGUGACGGUAAUGGGUAAAGAAGCACCGGCUAACUACGUG
rnacentral:rRNA from 1 species